CGGCAGGCUUCAUACAUGCAAGUCGAGGGGCAGCAUAAAUUACUUGUAAUUUGAUGGCGACCGGCGAACGGGUGCGUAACGCGUAUGCAACUUACCUUUUACUAGAGAAUAGCCAAGAGAAAUUUUGAUUAAUGCUCUAUGUUCUUAUUUACUCGCAUGAGUAAAUAAGCAAAGCUCCGGCGGUAAAAGAUGGGCAUGCGUCCUAUUAGCUUGUAGGUGAGGUAAUGGCUCACCUAAGCUCCGAUAGGUAGGGGUCCUGAGAGGGAGAUCCCCCACACUGGUACUGAGACACGGACCAGACUUCUACGGAAGGCAGCAGUAAGGAAUAUUGGACAAUGGAGGCAACUCUGAUCCAGCCAUGCCGCGUGAAGGAAGACGGCCUUAUGGGUUGUAAACUUCUUUUAUACAGGAAGAAACCUUUCCACGUGUGGAAAGCUGACGGUACUGUAAGAAUAAGGAUCGGCUAA
rnacentral:rRNA from 1 species